rnacentral:pre_miRNA from 1 species
CAAGUACUCCCUCCGUCCGGAAAUAUUUGUCAUCAAAAUGAAUAAAAGGGGAUGUAUCUAGAUGUAUUUUAGUUCUAAAUACAUCCCUUUUUGUCCAUUUUUAUGACAAGUAUUUUCGGACGGAGGGAGUAUAAC